rnacentral:rRNA from 1 species
CCUACGGGAGGCAGCAGUGAGGAAUAUUGGUCAAUGGACGGGAGUCUGAACCAGCCAAGUAGCGUGAAGGAUGACUGCCCUACGGGUUGUAAACUUCUUUUAUCAAGGAAUAAAAUGAGGCACGUGUGCCUUUUUGAAUGUACUUUAUGAAUAAGGAUCGGCUAACUCCGUGCCAGCAGCCGCGGUAAUACGGAGGAUCCGAGCGUUAUCCGGAUUUAUUGGGUUUAAAGGGAGCGUAGAUGGGUUGUUAAGUCAGGUGUGAAAGUUUGCGGCUCAACCGUAAAAUUGCAAUUGAUACUGGCAGUCUUGAGUAGAGUUGAGGUAGGCGGAAUUCGUGGUGUAGCGGUGAAAUGCUUAGAUAUCACGAAGAACUCCGAUUGCGAAGGCAGCAUACUA